rnacentral:rRNA from 1 species
ACGGGUGAGUAACGCGUGGGAAUCUACCGUACCCUACGGAAUAGCUCUGGGAAACUGGAAGUAAUACCGUAUACGCCCUAACGGGGAAAGAUUUAUCGGGGUAUGAUGAGCCCGCGUUGGAUUAGCUAGUUGGUGGGGUAAAGGCCUACCAAGGCGACGAUCCAUAGCUGGUCUGAGAGGAUGAUCAGCCACAUUGGGACUGAGACACGGCCCAAACUCCUACGGGAGGCAGCAGUGGGGAAUAUUGGACAAUGGGGGCAACCCUGAUCCAGCCAUGCCGCGUGAGUGAUGAAGGUCUUAGGAUUGUAAAGCUCUUUCAACGGUGAAGAUAAUGGCGGUAACCGUAGAAGAAGCCCCGGCUAACUUCGUGCCAGCAGCCGCGGUAAUACGAAGGGGGCUAGCGUUGUUCGGAAUUACUGGGCGUAAAGCGCACGUAGGCGGGUAUUUAAGUCAGGGGUGAAAUCCCGCAGCUCAACUGCGGAACUGCCUUUGAUACUGGGUAUCUUGAGUAUGGAAGAGGUAAGUGGAAUUGCGAGU